rnacentral:rRNA from 1 species
AGUGAACGCUGGCGGUAGGCCUAACACAUGCAAGUCGAACGGCAGCACAGUAAGAGCUUGCUCUUACGGGUGGCGAGUGGCGGACGGGUGAGGAAUACAUCGGAAUCUACUUUUUCGUGGGGGAUAACGUAGGGAAACUUACGCUAAUACCGCAUACGACCUACGGGUGAAAGCAGGGGAUCUUCGGACCUUGCGCGAUUGAAUGAGCCGAUGUCGGAUUAGCUAGUUGGCGGGGUAAAGGCCCACCAAGGCGACGAUCCGUAGCUGGUCUGAGAGGAUGGACAGGCAAACUGGGACCUGGGCACCGUCCAGGACCCCAAGGGGAGGCGGAAGUGGGGAAUAUUGGAAAAGGGGCGAAAGCCUGAUCAAGCAAGACGGGGGGGGUGAAGAAGGCCUUCGGGUGGUAAAGCCCUUUUGUUGGGAAAGAAAAGCGGCAGGUUAAGACCCCGCUGUUCUGACGGUACCAAAAGAAGAAGCACGGGCUACCUUGGU